ensembl:lncRNA
AACGACACGGUCCGCCGUGGCUUGCCUUCCGUCCGCCGUGUUCCCAGCGGUCGCCGGGGGGGGGCGGUGGUGGGAGCGCGGUGGCCUUUCUGCAGCACUUUGAGAGUAGGUGUAACACGGCGCACGGGUCUCAGCGGGCAGGCCGGGUAUCAUGAGCCAUAACGCCGUCAGUGUGACAAGCGGAGCAGCGAUGGUGACACAGAUGAAGACGUAGGACAGCGAAGGCACAUCUUCAUCAUCAGCUGGGCCGCGUGGCUCGUCUACAAGAAGAAGAAGAAGCACGUAGAUCCAGUCUUUACCCAAUGAAAUUGUUGGACAGGACACCGGACCGUCACGGGUCGCUGGGGGACAGUUUUCACCGUUGUGCCUCUUGGGACCAGCACCUCAACAUCACAAGGAAACACGUCUAAAACAAAAAAGAAAUCACAUUUCCCCCAAAAGUCAGUUUAUUUUAUCUUCAAUCAUUAACAUCAACACCUUUGACGUUUGUAAUCACAGUUUUCAUGUUUCCUGCGAU